AAUUAGCCGGGUGAGGUCAUACGCGUCUGCAAUCCCAGCUACUUGGGAGGCUGAGGCAGGAGAAUCACUUGAACCCAGGAGGUGGAGGUUACAGUGAGCGAAGAUCGUGCCACUGCACUUCCAGCCUGGUUGACAGAGCGAGACACCAUUUCAAAAAACAAAAAAUAAACAACAAUUUAAAAAACUUGUUAAUUUGUGCCUGUUGGUUUUUAUUUCCUUAACCUUGAUGUUGGGAAAUGAUUAAAAAUAAUUAAAAACAAUUCAGACACUAGUUUUAGCCAUAUGAGAGUAAGGUUAUAAGUCGAGCAUAUUUCUGUUGUUUGACUCUCAGUCCAUUUGUGUAAGGAAUGAUAUGAGAACUAUAGAAAUAAUUCAAAUGGUAUAAGCUUUGUAGUAAUUACAAAAGGAUUUAUUGUCUCUAUCAAAACUAAUAUAUACAUUUGCAGAGCAUCCAGAUGGAGAAGCUGUCUCUUGUAAUUCUCUGAAGUAGAAGAAUAGUUUCAAUAAAUUACCAACACUUUAAGCUGUCUGGACCACUGGUUUAGUUUCAUUUCAGUAAGACACAAAUCUUAGCUUUACAUGUAGCCCUAACAUCACCAUCAACUACCUUAAUUUUAUAUCUGUUUGUAGUAUACCAGGUGCUUUUAGCAGUUAGUAUAACUACUAAAAUUUACUAACUGGAAUGUGAGUUCCAUUUUUGUCUGCUUUUUUCACUGAUGUACCUUGGUGUCUAGAACAGCUCAGUAAUAUUUUUAAACAGGUGAAUUUACUCUAAAUACACACCAAACCAAACUAUUGACCAAAAAAAAUUUCGUUCUGCUAUCUCAGUGUAAGAAUCCUGUGUCUCCUGCUAUCUAUUAUACAAUGCCAUAACAUUGAUACUGUCACAUAAAAGUCAUUGUAAGUUGAUCAAGAGACAACAAACACACUGCUGCACCUGUUUAGGCUGAUAACAGUUUCUGGAGUUCUAAGCCUAAUCUCUCCCUUUAGUUUUCCGUGUCUAAAGGUAGCUCUAAUAUAAUGAUCAGUAAAGAUGAUUCUAUGAAGUGUUAGAUGAAUAUGUAAGUUUUAAUAUUGGAGGCCAAUGAUAAUACCUAAGUGAUCUUUAUAAAACAUAAAACUGACGAUGUCACUUCACUAUUUAAAGUUCUUCAGCAGGUCUCCCAGUGCCACUUAUCUAGUAGGAGUCAGGCUUUGAAAUUAGAAUUAUUCAAUCUGAAUCCUUCUUUGCCACUUACUAGUUGUGUGACCUUGAGAAGUUACUUAAUCUCCCCAAACUUCAGUUUGCUUAUCUGUAAAAGAGGGGCAGCAAUACCUCAGAGGGUUGUUUUAAGGAUUAAAUUAGAUAAUGCAUGCAAAGCAUCAAGUAAGCAACUUAAGGCUUAUUAAUUGUUCUAGGCAGAGGAGGAUGUUCAAAGUCCUUAUUAUGCUAAAUAAGCUCUUAAACUUCUGCUACAUUUGCCUUGCCCACGCAAAUGACCACAUCUACCUGGUCUAUAUCAACAUGCCAGACAGAUUCCUAGCAACUGCCAGACAACUCUCUCUAUUGUUAUGAUUCUCUCUGCCAGGGAGAACUUUUGUUCCACAAAGUUUGAGGUUGUACCUUGGACAAAUCGUUGAUAAUCAGGUGUUCUCCAUCAUUUUUUUUUUUUUUUUUUGGAGUCUCACUCUGUCACCUAGGCUGGAGUGCAGUGGCGCGAUCUCGGCUCACUGCAAUCUCCACCUCCCAAGUUCAAGUGAUUCUCCUGCCUCAGCCUCCUGAGUAGCUGGAAUUACAGGCGUGUGCCAACACACACCCAGCUAAUUUUUGUAUUUUUAGUAGAGAUGGGGUUUCACCAUGUUGGCCAGGCUGGUCUUGAACUCUUGAUCUCAUGUGAUCCACCUACCUCGGCCUCCCAAAGUGCUGGGAUUAUAGGCGUGAGCCACUGUGCCCAGCCAAAGUAUAUAUUUUCUAAGAGCAGGGCCUGGGUCUCUCAUCUAUGCAUAUCCCAAGGAACCUCCAACAGUGUCUGGCACAAGGAGUCUGGCUCAACAGUAUUAGUUGUAAUGAAUGUCUAAUCCACUUGGUGUUUUUUAAACUUCUCUCUAGAAAUAAUAUAAAGAGGCAAGAGAAAAUUUCCUCAGAAAUAUACCCCAAAACAACCAAGUUCAAAAAUAAAAUUCCCUAAAUUUUUGUGAGGUUUUAUGUUUUCUUCCCUUAAAAUUCAUGGAGAAUUUUGUAUUAUAUUCCAGGACAGAUGUGCAUUUGUUUUAACCUAGAAUGCCAACGACCUCCCCACUAAGUUAAUUAUUACUAGAGGAACAGGCCUAAGACUCAUGCAUAUAGGAAUGGAGGUAAGGUGCUGGUAGCACUAGACAGAUGAUGCAUAAUACGUACAAGUCAUUAGAUGAAGAAGAAGUACCUGUGCCCUAGUAAAUGAAAAACAUGCAGGUGAAACUAGCAGCAAAAACUUGUGGAAAUGUCUGUUCCCCAAAGAAAGAAAGAAUUUGGAUAGAACAGAACAAGAGCAAGAAAAGAUUUAAGUAAACUCCAGAAUUCACAAAGAAAAUGUUCUCAAGAUAUGUAUACGAACUGAGCUUUAGAGAAUAAGUGUCAGACUUUAUUGAGGCAAUACAAAGAUAAAGGCAUUUUGGCAAUACCUAAAUGUAAAGAGAAACCACAUUUGACUGAUGUAGGUAACAGGAACACGGAUAUUUGUCUUAUGUUAAGGCAGAACAUUAUUUGAAACAGAUCCCCUAUCCAUUUAACUUCUUUGCAGGGUUCUCUAGAACUUUUUCAUAUUCUUUUCCUCCUUUAUUUUUAAAGAUAUCAGCACACUGCUUCUGAGGCUCAGUUUAGUAUAGUUCCAAAGAGCCAAAAUAUUUCUGAUACACAGAAAGGUUUUCAUCUGAAAUUUUCUAUUUUUAAAGGUUAUGAAAAUGUCUCCAGGCUCCAAAGCAACGCUAGGAAAACUGAUUUUAAUAUACUACUAAUCUACAAGAAAAAAACCCACUAAUUCAGAAUUUUGAUAUACUUUUAAAAAGUCAACUUAUUAUCUUUUAAAAUUAAAGUUCUUCAGAUUAAAUAACCUACAGGAGAAAUAUCUUCAAGCAUAUUCUAAUUUGAGGGAUGACAAACUUCUUCAGUAAAGGGUCAGAAGGUAAAUAUUUUAGGCUUUGCAUGCUAAGAGGCAAAACCCAGGAUAUAAUAUGUAGGUCUCUGUUGCAAUGAAUUUUCACAGUCUUGAAAUUUUAUUGUUAUUUGAUUUUGUUUUCUCCAACCAUUUUACAAAUGUAAAACCAUCCUUAGCUCAUGGGACACCCAAAAACAGAUGUCAGGCCAGAAAUGGCCAUGGGCCAUAGUUUGCCAACCCCUUUUCUAGUCUAAGAUAGACCUGAAAAGGUAAUAACUCUACUGAUAUUACUAAAAAAUUCAAUCCUAUUUUCAAUGAAAAAUACCCAUAAAAAUAAAUGGAAAAGGGAUAUAAAACUGUAUACACAGUGUGAAUCUAGUAUCUGGAGAAAAAGUAUGUGUGUGUUUAUGUAUGUGUCCCUGUACAUACACGCAUGCAAGUGUAUCUAUUCACAUAUGUGGCAUUAAAAAAACCCCAAAGGAAUUAUAUCAAAAUGUUAACAACAAAAUUAGCCAGGUGUAAUGGCACCUGUAGUCCUAGCUACUUGGGAGGCUAAGGUGGGAAGAUGGCUUAAGCCCAGGAUUGUGAGGCUAUGGUGAGUCAUGACUGUGCCAUUGCCCUCUGGCCUGGGUGACAGAGUGAGAACCUGUCUCAAAUAAAUAAAUAAAUAAAUAAAAAUAAAAUAUUAACAAUGGGAUAAAUGACUUUACUUUCUCUUUAAUAAAUGUUUUUAUUGCCCAAAUUUCCUAUAAUAAAUACAUAAUACUUGUUAAAAUAGAAAAAUGUUAAACAGCAACAACAAAAUAUCCCAAAUUUUUAUCUGAAUUUUUUAUGAAUUAAAAUACAGUCAUGUGCACCUGUAGUCCCACCUAUUUGGGAAGCUGAGGUAGGAGAUCACUUGAGCCCAGGCAUUCAGAAGAUCAGUGUGGGCAACAUGGCAAGACGCCAUCUCUUAAAAAUAAAACAAAUAAAUAAAAAUGCAGUCAUACUUUGUUUAAUGACGGGAAUAUGUUCUGAGAAAUGUACUGUUAGGUGAUUUUGUCACUGUGUGAACAUCAUAGAGUGUGCUUAAACCUAAAUGGUAUAGCCUACUACACACCUAGGAUUGCUCCUGAGCUACAAAUCUGUACACCAUGUUACUGUACUGAAUACUAUAGGUAAUUGUAUCACAAAUGGUAUUUGUGUAUCUAAACACAGAAAAGGUACAGUAAAUGAUCUAUUAGUUUCUGCCAGGGAACAAAAAAGGGGGUACAAUAAAAACACUAUACAAAUAUUUAAAAUGGUACACCUGUAUAGGGUACUUACCAUGAAUGAAGCUUGAAGGACCGGAAUUGCUCUGGGUGAGCCAGAGAGUGUUAGUGGUGAGUGAAUGUAGAGGCCUAGGAUAUUACUGUACACUACUGUAGACUUUAUAAACAGUGUACACUUAGGCUGCACUAAAUUGAUUUUUUAAUUUUUUCUUUCUUCAAUAAUACAUUAACCUUAGUUUACUGUAAACUUUUACUUUAUAAACUUUUUAAUUUUUUAAAUUUUUACUCUUUUGUAAUAACAGCAUAAAAUACAUAAUACAGCUGUAUAAAAAUAUUUUAUUUAUAACCUAUAAGCUUUUUUCUAUUUUUAAAUUAACUUUUUUUAAACUUUUUAGUUAAAAACAAAGAUACAAAUACACACAUUAACCUGAGCAUACACAGGGUCAAGAUCAAUAUCACUGUCUUCUGCCUCUACAUUUUUGUCCCACUGGAAGGUCUUUAGGGACAAUAAACACAGAGAGCUGUCAUCUUACUGUAACAAUGCCUUCUAGAAUACCUCCUAAAGGACCUGUGUGAGGCUCUUUUACAGUUAACUUUUUUUAAUUGGUGGAAGGAGUAUACUCAAAAAUAACAGUAAAAAGUAUAGUAAAUACAUAAACUAGUGACAUAGUUUAUUACCAUUAUCAAGUAUUAACAUAUGUACAUAACUACGUGCUAUACUUUUACAGGACUAGCAGUGCAGUGAGUCCGCUUGCACCAGCAUCACCACAAACUUCAGUAAAUGCGUUGUGCCACAAUGUUACAACAAGCUACCAGGGCACCAGGCAAUAGAAAUUUUUCAGCUCCAUUAUAAUCUUAGGGGACCACCAUUGUUAUGCACUGCCUGUUGUUGACCAAAAGAUUGUUGUGUGGUGCAUGACUGUACUGAUAUUCACACAUACCUUUGAGGUUUCGCACCUGGUUCUGCUUGAUUACAGAGCUUAAAUAGUGAGGUGAUAAAGAACCACUGAAAAACAAACAGAAAAGCAAAUAUGCUUAUAAAAAUGUUUACUUCACUUUUUCCCCCUAAUUUUUGACAGGUUCUCUCUCACUCUGCUGGCCGCCCAGGCUGGAGUGCAGUGGCAUGAUUUCAGCCUACUGCAGCCUUGACUUUCUGAGCUCAGGUGAUCCUCCCACCUUAGCUGCCUGAGUGGCUGGGACCACAAGCAUGCACUACCAUGUGUGGCUAAUUUUUUAAUUUUUUUUGGUAGAGAAAGGGUUUUACCAUGUUGUACAAGCUAGUCUCAAACUCCUGGGCUCAAGCAGUCUACCUGCCUUGGCCUCCUACAGUGCUGGAAUUACAGGCGUGAGCCACUUGCACCCAACUAUUUCACUUUUUAUAGAACUUAGUCACAAAUACAGCUAAUUUGUACCACCAAAAACAAACUAUUUUUACCUUGUUUUCUUUGCUAAUACUACUCAAUUUAGAAAGUCUGCCAAAGCAGAAAGAGCAUAGGAGCCAAAAGAGGUAAAUCACAACUAUUUGGAUGUUCUUAGGCAAAAUAAUUAAUCUCUUAGCUUCUUCAUCUGUAAAAUAGGAAUAAUUAAAUCUCCCACAUAGGCUGUUGUGAUAAUUAAAUAAUAAUAAUGCAUUUAAAAUGCCUGGAACUAUAGAUAAUACAUGAUAGUUACUGUUUGGUUUUGCAUUGGAUUCUUAAGUUUGAUAUAAUACUAAUAUAGGUAUUACCACAAAAAUAAAAGCAUUUACCAAAAUUCAUGGUUAAGGAACACUUGGUAGUGAUAGCAAACAGGUAUGUUCCUGAUUUUAUUAAUAAACAUAAAAUUAAACUUUCUAUAUUCAUGGAAAGACACCAACAGUUCUUUUUUUAAUCCAGGAAUUAAAAUAUUUUUGGGAAAAACUACUUCUCUUCUUUGGAAUUUAUGAUAGCAUGAAAAAAAAAUCUAUUUGUUAACGAACUUAAAAGUUUAUUUCCUAUUCAUAGUUUUACAUAUACUGUAUCUCACUCUUUUCCUCAGACUUACAAAUUCUUAUAUGCAAGGGCUACACAAAAGCAUGUCAGAUGGAACUGUUAUUUUGCCAAACAACAUAAAGGGCAAAAUGUUUCAUUUUAUAUUAAGGGUUUAAAGUCAAAAGGUUAUAUAUAACCCUUAUGUUGUAGUUUAAUCUUUUUUUUUUUUUUUUGAGACACA
rnacentral:lncRNA from 10 species